GACGAACGCUGGCGGCGUGCUUAACACAUGCAAGUCGAACGGAAAGGCCCUGCUUUUGUGGGGUGCUCGAGUGGCGAACGGGUGAGUAACACGUGAGUAACCUGCCCUUGACUUUGGGAUAACUUCAGGAAACUGGGGCUAAUACCGGAUAGGAGCUCCUGCUGCAUGGUGGGGGUUGGAAAGUUUCGGCGGUUGGGGAUGGACUCGCGGCUUAUCAGCUUGUUGGUGGGGUAGUGGCUUACCAAGGCUUUGACGGGUAGCCGGCCUGAGAGGGUGACCGGCCACAUUGGGACUGGGAUACGACCCAGACUCCUACGGGAGGCAGCAGUGGGGAAUAUUGCACAAUGGGCGGAAGCCUGAUGCAGCAACGCCGCGUGCGGGAUGACGGCCUUCGGGUUGUGAACCGCUUUCGCCUGUGCCGAAGCGUGAGUGACGGUAAUGGGUAAAGAAGCACCGGCUAACUACGUG
rnacentral:rRNA from 1 species